ensembl:snRNA U6 U6 spliceosomal RNA
GUGCACACUCCAGCAGCACACAUACUAAAAUUGGCACAAUACAGAGAUUACCAUGGCCCCUGCUCAAGGAUGACAUGAAAACUGGAGAAGCGUUCCAUGUUUUU